GGGGAUGCAGCUCAGUUGGUAGAGUGACUGCCUAGCAUGCAAGAUUCCCUGGAUUUGAUUCCCAGCACCUAUA
rnacentral:tRNA from 1 species